UACGAAGGGGGCUAGCGUUGCUCGGAAUCACUGGGCGUAAAGCGCACGUAGGCGGAUUGCUAAGUCAGGGGUGAAAUCCUGGAGCUCAACUCCAGAACUGCCUUUGAUACUGGCGACCUUGAGUCCGGGAGAGGUGAGUGGAACUGCGAGUGUAGAGGUGAAAUUCGUAGAUAUUCGCAAGAACACCAGUGGCGAAGGCGGCUCACUGGCCCGGUACUGACGCUGAGGUGCGAAAAGCGUG
rnacentral:rRNA from 1 species